CGGAGCCACGACACCCGACGCAGGGGCAGGAACGGAGAGCUGGUGCCAGGAAGCCUGUUGAAGCUGCGUCAGCGGUGAUCAGCUGCACAGUGAAAGCUCAGCUAGCACGGGCCAGUGGCGCAAUGGAUAACGCGUCUGACUACGGAUCAGAAGAUUCUAGGUUCCCAGAUACAAGACCUGAGAAGGCCCAAAACGUUUGCGGCAGCAGGGAGCCUUGAACCCCCGGAGUGGCUGCCUUGAACACUGUAUGAACCAAUUACUCCAUGAUCAAUUAAUUUCUCCCAUCAUAACGUUGUUCCAACAGAAAUUUGUUGAGAAUAAAAAUAAAGCGGGGGCUGGGGAUGUAGCUCAGUGGUAUAGUGGCUGCUUAAACAUACAUACAAGGCACCAAAAAUAAAUAAAGCAAAUUCCUACUCUGUGAUUACCACUA